GUGCUCACUUCAGCAGUGCCUAUACUAAAAAUUGGAAUGAUACACAGAAGAUUAGCAUGGCCCCUGUGCAAGAAUGACACCCAAAUUCAUGAAGCAUUCCAUAUUAAA